rnacentral:rRNA from 1 species
AUUGAACGCUGGCGGCAUGCCUUACACAUGCAAGUCGAACGGUAACAGGGAGCUUGCUCCGCUGACGAGUGGCGAACGGGUGAGUAAUGUAUCGGAACGUACCAUUCAGUGGGGGAUAACGUAGCGAAAGUUACGCUAAUACCGCAUAUUCUGUGAGCAGGAAAGCAGGGGAUCGCAAGACCUUGCGCUGAUUGAGCGGCCGAUAUCAGAUUAGCUAGUUGGUGAGGUAAAGGCUCACCAAGGCGACGAUCUGUAGCGGGUCUGAGAGGAUGAUCCGCCACACUGGAACUGAGACACGGUCCAGACUCCUACGGGAGGCAGCAGUGGGGAAUUUUGGACAAUGGGGGCAACCCUGAUCCAGCCAUGCCGCGUGAGUGAAGAAGGCCUCGGUGUAAGCUCUUCGGCCGGAAAAUACGCAUCAGUUAAUACCUGGUGUGGAUGAUGGUACCGGAAUAAGAAGCACCGGCUAACUACGUG